AUUGAACGCUGGCGGCAGGCUUAACACAUGCAAGUCGAGCGGAGCGAGGGUGCUUGCACCUUAGCUUAGCGGCGGACGGGUGAGUAAUGCUUAGGAAUCUGCCUAUUAGUGGGGGACGACAUUCCGAAAGGAAUGCUAAUACCGCAUACGCCCUACGGGGGAAAGCAGGGGAUCUUCGGACCUUGCGCUAAUAGAUAAGCCUAAGUCGGAUUAGCUAGUUGGUGGGGUAAAGGCCUACCAAGGCGACGAUCUGUAGCGGGUCUGAGAGGAUGAUCCGCCACACUGGGACUGAGACACGGCCCAGGCUCCUACGGGAGGCAGCAGUGGGGAAUAUUGGACAAUGGGCGGAAGCCUGAUCCAGCCAUGCCGCGUGUGUGAAGAAGGCCUUUUGGUUGUAAAGCACUUUAAGCGAGGAGGAGGCUACUGGUACUAAUACUACUGGAUAGUGGACGUUACUCGCAGAAUAAGCACCGGCUAACUCUGUGCCAGCCGCCGCAGUAAGAC
rnacentral:rRNA from 1 species